AAUAAAUAAAACAUAUGAAGACCUUUGAAAUGCUUAUGAGUUAAGAGGACUAAAAUAUCAGAUUUUUUGGUGUGUGUGAAACCAAAGUAAAGAUACUAAAUAAAUGUUUACUCUCGGUUAGUGAUUGAAUCUACUUCCAUUCCUUCUUCUCAUUUUCCACCCAUAAACUGUAUGUAUACAGACUAUACAUCCACGCACAUUCACACACGCAUACACAUAACACAUCCUAUGUCUGAUCGUCGAAGAAUCCGUCAUCAUCUACUCCAAGACUUCAUUGGAAAGUCGUUGUUCGACGAUCAUCAAAUACCAGUCCUUGAUGCAACUAGGAGCCUCCUUUGAUCGAUCACCAGCACACCGGGGGACACUAAUUACAUGAUGUUUCGAAAUCGGGUUUUUACUUAUGCUUUCAUCUUUACCCGGAGUUGUUUCUUUAUUCUCCUAAUAAAAAGAAGGGAAAGGAAAUCUCGAUCAAAGGCAUAUCUUGGUGUGUUUGUGGGAAGAUUAAAGAAUGAAGAAAUUGAGGAUUUUGCCAUGAGCCCAUGAAUAACAAGAAGUUUGGGGUUGUCUUUUCUUUUUCUAAUUCUAAAGAUAACACUGUUUUUAUUCUUCUAUUUUUUUUCUAUUAACCGGACUGGUUUAUUGGUUGGGAAUCUCAGGUCUGUGAUAUUCAUUCGAGAUAUGGGGUAUGUUUGUUGAUUUUUUUGAUUUUUAUAUAGAGUUUCUUCAAUCCAAGAUUGUAAUUUCAAGUGUAGAUGUUGGUGGAUGAUAGUUUGAAUUGUGAAGAUGGAUAAUCGGCUUUAUUUUGAAGAUGUUGUAUAAGCUGUCAUUGCACGUAUAGUUUAGUCAAAAUAUUUGAUUAUUUGGAUUAGGAAUUAAAAAGCAGAAAACCAGAGCAAAAAAGUUGUUUAACAGGAGUAGUUCUGAAUUUUCGUUGCUUAAAUCGAGUUUUGGAGUUUAUUUGUUAUGGAUUAUUUAUAAUUUAUACUAAC